AUAACUUUCUCGACCUUUUGGCUAAGUUCAAAUGUAGUAUCGGUUCUUAUCGGUUUAAUAUAUGAUGUGCGGAUCAUCGGCUCACACGAUAUUAACUCAAAUCUUUUAAGGGGGAGGGCUCGUCAAAGUAGUUUGCUACUUGGGCCUUCGCGUGUCGCCUUGGUCUUGCACUAUUGCUUGGGCCUGGCGCACCCCAC